UACGAAGGGGGCUAGCGUUGUUCGGAAUCACUGGGCGUAAAGCGCACGCAGGCGGAUCGUUAAGUCAGGGGUGAAAUCCUGGAGCUCAACUCCAGAACUGCCUUUGAUACUGGCGAUCUUGAGUCCGGGAGAGGUGAGUGGAACUGCGAGUGUAGAGGUGAAAUUCGUAGAUAUUCGCAAGAACACCAGUGGCGAAGGCGGCUCACUGGCCCGGUACUGACGCUGAGGUGCGAAAGCGUGGGGAGCAAACAGG
rnacentral:rRNA from 1 species